rnacentral:rRNA from 1 species
GACGGAGGAUGCAAGUGUUAUCCGGAAUCACUGGGCGUAAAGCGUCUGUAGGUUGUUUAAAAAGUCUGCAGUUAAAGGUUGAAGCUUAACUUCAAAAAUGCCGUAGAAACUUUUAAACUAGAGGAUGGUAGGGGUAGAGGGAAUUUCCAGUGGAGCGGUGAAAUGUGUAGAUAUUGGAAAGACCACCGAUGGCGAAGGCACUCUACUGGGCCAUGACUGACACUGAGAGACGAAGGCCAGGGGAGCGAAUGGG